CAGCACCGGGCUGACAGUGGGUGAUUCCUUGCUGCCUCUGUUCUUUGGUCCUCUGGCUGCUUAGACCUGCUGGAAGCAGUUAUCUCAAUCACUGAAACUAAUCUCAGCUGCUGUCCGAGGCAGGUAGACGCGUGCUUGUGUGGCAAAGGGCAGGAGCUGCUGUUAUUGCUGAAAUGGAACCAGGGCAGCUGGGCGUGAGCACGGCGCUGGCCGCCCGCAGCCAGCAUGGUCAGGUUAUGAGGAAUAAGGCAGCAUUGCUACGCAUGGAAUUACCCUGACAUGGCAAUUCAGACCAUGUUGUUCCUAAGGCUCUUGGAAAUUGGAAUGGACUAACCCAUGAAACACAUUAAGCUGCAACUACUGUUUGGCAGAACAUUCAGAGAUGCAGACCAUCCAGAGAUGCAAGUGUAUUCUACCUUAACUGAUCAGCAAUCACAGCAGUAGUUUCCAGCUAUAUAUUUGUACUCAUUAGUGGUGUAAUACCUGGCAGGUUUUGUUUUCAGUAGUUUAAAAUAGGGUUGAUUUCAUGUUCUUGUAAUGGGCAGCAUAAUUCUGAACAACUGCAGCUUUCCAGUGUUCACCAGGGACUAAGACCUCCAGCCAAGCUUGUGCUGACUGCCUGUGACAGCCUCUCUGCUGCUCAGGGUGAGAAGCAGCCUGAUCCCCAAGCCUUGCAUCCGAGUGAUUCUAACCUGUGUUGAAACAGCACCUCUCUGAGGACGCUGCGUGUUUUGAACACAUUUUAAAAAUACACAAGUGAACAACAUGAAUGCAGCUUACUUUUGUAACGAUCUCUUUGUUGUACAAUGGUCCUAUCUUUCUAGUACAUUUGUGGAUAUCUUACACAUCUGAAAAUUCUCAAAAUAAAAAGAUAUGUGAAGGCGCACUGAACUCACAAAGGCACCGAGUGAAGAUUUUAUGAAAACUAAAUAUUCUGGCUGGAACUGCUUGCCAUUGUGUAGAAAAUCAGUUUCAGCAAAGUUCCCAGUGCUAUUU